rnacentral:rRNA from 1 species
CGAACGCUGGCGGCAGGCUUAACACAUGCAAGUCGAACGGGUGCAGCAAUGCAUCAGUGGCAGACGGGUGAGUAACACGUGGGAACCUUCCUAGGGGUACGGAACAACUCAGGGAAACUUGAGCUAAUACCGUAUACGUCCGUGAGGAGAAAGAUUUAUCGCCCUUAGACGGGCCCGCGUCGGAUUAGCUAGUUGGUGGGGUAACGGCCUACCAAGGCGACGAUCCGUAGCUGAUCUUAGAGGAUGAUCAGCCACACUGGGACUGAGACACGGCCCAGACUCCUACGGGAGGCAGCAGUGGGGAAUCUUGGACAAUGGGCGCAAGCCUGAUCCAGCCAUGCCGCGUGAGUGAAGAAGGUCUUCGGAUUGUAAAGCUCUUUUGCCAGGGACGAUAAUGACGGUACCUGGAGAAUAAGCCCCGGCAAACUUCGCGCCAGCAG